rnacentral:lncRNA from 1 species
UAUUCAAUCACAACAUUAUAACUGUAAGUGACUAGAUGAAAGUACCUAAAAAAUUAAGUAUUCCAUCCAAAAUGAGAUGAUAUUAUGUUAUUGGUUUACACCCAUCAAACAGAUACUCUGCUUACAAAUGAAUAAGUAGUCCCUAAAAAGUGAAGCUGUUCUAACGGUUAAAAAAAGGUUUCAAGCUUUGAGGUUAAAAAAAGCAAAAAGGUUUUGGUUCAAUUGGGACAGUCUAGCAGGCCAUGGUGGAUCUGAGUGGCACCGACCCGUUAUCCUUCCACUGCCAAGAGCGGGAGGUAGUUCGUUGCUCUGUGAAGCCAGCCUUACGCAGUGCCCUCCACUCUAGAAACCCAGUGACCCAGAGCCUUCGCUCAAGCCACAGGGUUCAACUCCUGGCUUGGAAUGGGCGGGCCAGAAGAUAGCCAACCCGAACCCGACCAGCUAAUACUGGGACAAUGUUCCAGCACCUCAAAGCCCCCACUCGGGUUACAAGCUCACGUUGCUGAGCUCGGCGAUCCAACUUCCUCCUGUUAGGUUUAUGAAGUGUGGUUUUUGAUAUCAACCGAGCGAUGUGGGAUAAGUUGCAAGAGCGAGUGCCUCUUUAGGAUAAGAUCUUGGCCUUCAUAUAAUGACUUGACUUUUGCAGGGGCUUUUUAUGGAAAAAUAGAGAUAAAAAGGAAAGAUCAGUCUACCUUGGCUUUGAGGAUGGUCCCGUCUGCAAGAUGAACCAGCUUAAAGUAGCCCGAUUCGUCAACGGAAACCACCUUGGAUGAGAACCUGAUGGUGCCACUGGGGAGUUCAUUUGCAAGGCCUUCCAACAACAAGUUCCUUUUCACGCAUCGAAUUUCAUGGUUUCCGCUGCACAUCAUGUACAUUCUCAAUCUUUUGAGCAUGCUUGAAUAUGGAUACUAAUAACAAAAUCAUUUAAAAAGAAGCAAAUUAAUAGAAUCUAGCAAACAAUUGAUUUCCAAUAUUAAGCAUCAAGUAAGAUACUUUUAGCACUUAUGCUACUGAUAAACUUACUGCUUUCCUUUGGCCUUAAAUGACAUCUCAAACGUUUGAAGCCCUGUAAUUCUUGAGGAAGUCACAUUCCUGUACAUUCAAAUCUCUGCAAUCAGUUUUGUGCGUGCAAAAGUAGAACUUAGUAAGUACCAACAAAGAUGUUAGGAUUGAUUUUGCUUAACUAACAGUCGAGAUUGGCGGUCUGAUAACAUAACAUGUUAGGAUAGUUGAAGAGGCAAGAGAGAGUGAUGCAUGGAGAGAAAAUUACCCAUCAAGUGGGACAUGUUGUUGGCGAAGAGAAUCGGCAAGACCAAGGGCAUCUAAGGCCUUCCAUGCAUUUGUCCAUGUUGUCAACGCAAAACCUGUUGUCCUCAAACUAUCAGAUGAUUCUAACACCAAGCUUCUAAUCCCCAGCCUGCACCCAGAAAUUUCAAUUUUGAUUCCGACCAUAGUAACAAAUAUAUGAACCGUGAACAUUAGCAUGUGUGUAUUAGAGAGAGAGAGAGAGAGAGAGAACCUGUGAAGUCCUAAGGAUGUUGCAAGGCCAGAAAUUCCAGCUCCCACAAUCACAACAUCUGCUUCUUCUUCCAUGUUGUACUUGAUUAUGCUCAGGAGCGUCCCCGGUGGUUCUUCUAGAGCUUAGGCUUCCAGCAUAUGACCACACCCUCUCGAAAUCAGCUGCCAGUAAUUUCUCUGUCUUCUCGUCUAGUGCCUCUUUUCGAAUGCUGCGCUUUACACACAGAGGUGUCCUUCCUGGACUACCAACAACUGGAGUGGAGGAACAGAAAGUCGGAGUUGCUAGUGGAGAGGCAUAAUUAAGCUGAAGAUGACGAUUAGGAUGACGAAUUUUACUUCUUAUACUUGAUUAUGCUUCUGCUUUUACUUCUUAUAUUUGUGAUGGGGAUGUAAAGGACAGGCAUAAUUAAGCUGAAGAUGACGAUAAGGAUGACGAAUUAGGAAAAAAUGGCUAUACUAUUUUUAUUGUUUAAAAAAGAAAAAAAAUCGCAUUUUAAGAAACAUUAAUAAAUACGUGUGUAGCCGAGCGGGUAUACUAAUUUUUUAUAGAAUCAGAAAAAACUUAGUAUCGCCACACGGCUAUACUAUUUAUAGUUUUUUAAAAAGGCCCGCCAUGCGACUAGGCGUUCACUUGUCAAAAUACGUACAGCCGCAAGGUUAUACUAUUUAAAAAUAAAAAAAAUAAAAAACGGAAUAUAGUCAUGCGGCUAUACGCUUUAAAUACAUUAUAUUUAAAAGGUAUAGCCACGUUAGCAAACUAACGAAAUUUUUGAUCGAAAUUUUUGACAGAAUUUAACGACAGAGACCAUUUGUGAUCACACAUACUAACCUUGAGGACCACAAAUGACACAAAAAAACAUUAAAAAUGUAAUCUGAUAGUUUCGUCAACAAUAUGGACGUUUUGUGAUACUAAGCCUAAAAAAAUUAAGAAAAACGGACCUUUUAUCUUUUCUAAUUUUCCUGCAUCUCUUUGCUUCAUUUUUGUUUCACAUCUCCCUCUUCCUUUUAAUUCUUUAAUCGAAAAACAUAAACAAAUAAUCUUUUGUUAUAAAAUAACCUAGAAUAUGUGCGAUAAUUCAGAGCUGCACGUAAAGUAGAUGAGACACAGCAUUUAACGAGGUUCGGCUAUGCCUACGUCCUCGGAGAGCAGCAGCAGUAACUUUUUCACUAUGUAAAAUAAUAGGGCUACAAGUUUAGUGUUUACAAUAUAUGUGGCUCACUGAAUUUUCUCUCUAGGAGAAUUUCUCUCUGCUCUCUCUUCUCUCUUUCUUCCUUCUCUUCCUUUCUCUUUUUCUUCUCUUCUUCUUUCCGUUUCUCUUCUUAUUUAUAGGCUGAAAUAAUCACUAUUCAUCACUAUUCAUCACUGUUCACCCGUGACAGACAGACUCUAUCAAAGCCGCCAAAUGAACAGUAAUGAACAAUAAUGAACAGUAAUGAAAACUCUAUCAAGCCGCCAAAUGAACAGUAAUGAAUAGUUAGUGGGCUCCACAUGUUUAUUCUUUUACAACACUCCCCCUUGGAGACCACUAAUGAUAUGUCGGUUGUAUCAUUAAAGACUUGCUUGGAGAAAACCUAGUAAGGUAGAGAACUGAUGAAAAGAAGAGUACAACAAUCUGUAUAGCAUACUUAUGGAUGCUCCCCCUGAUUAAUAUCUCCCCCUGAUGUCUUCAUGACUAUCUUUUGGAUUGAGAAUCUUUCGGAGUGAGUGGAUGAUGUAGCCACCAACAAUUCAUAUAGUAAAUAUAUUUCCAGUGAGCUAUCUCUAUGUAAAUCAUAGAAAUUUUCAGAGUCCGCAUAUCUAAUAACGCUUGGGCUAUUUAUAAGUUCACUUGAAAGAAUAUGCCCAUACAUGGUGUUAUGCGGAAAUAGCAUCAAAUAUACCUCACAUCAUCCCAAAAUGAUGGUGAUGGAGUUGAGCCUUAUCUGGAAAAUAUGAUGUUCGGUCCAACAUACUUCCGGAAAAUUCUUAAAGUGCCCAACGGAUAAUCCUCAUAAAAAUGCUUCAAUACUUUCUUAGUAUAAGCAAGUAUCUCGUUGGCAUAAUGCUCGAUCUUUAAGUCGAGACAAAUAUUUCUGGAAUUCUUGAGAAGCUUUAAUGUGUUGCAAACACAUUAUAAUCAAUAUACUCACUGAGGCAAUUUAUGUACAUUAACAUUGAGUACAGAUUUUGUGCUUCAGGCACAUGUCCACAGACUUGCUUCAUGCAAUUUCAAUCCUUUCAAGGAUUUUGUUUAAAGGGAUUAAACUCUAUGACACAUUAUAUAGCUUUAACCCAGCUAUUUAUAUAUCUUUAGGGAAUCACUUCAGGUGAUAUGCUCUGUGCAUUUAAUAACCCUUAAAGAUAACAUGUUGGUCUUCGUAAAUGUGCAAUAAAGGGGCACAAUUGAAUCUAUAAAUAUGGAGAAAACCCAACAUCCCUUGUUUAUGUCAAAAACAUUGUGUCAUACUGUGGGUUUGUUCUUUCACGUUCAUUCUCAUCUAUAAUGGAAUUGCCUCAUUUCAUUUUGGCCAAUGAUAUUGUCGACAUUUAAUAAUUGAACGUGGUUCCAAUCAACACAGCCCAUUGAUGAUUUGAGUAGCUACUCCAAAAUCAAAAAUUGUCAUUCAUCAAUUCAUGAUCCCACCAUUCUCAUUUGCAUGCGCAUGCAUCAAUUAUAAGCAUUUCUUUGCUUUUGGGUACCCAAGCCACUUCAUGGGGCUUUUAUUAUGUGAGAAUGUGGAUUAUAACAUCUAUUGGAGCGUUAUUUUACAUAGGGCGUGGAAAAUCUCCAUUUAGGGAGUUGGAACAUUUAGAACCCAUAUAUCUGUCAUGCUGCAGGCAUGCCACAGAUUAAUACAUACAUGUCAAUUAAUUUAUGGGACUUUAACCCAUAUAAUUUGCUAUGCAUUAGGCGUGCAUAAUAUCAAUAUUGACAUGUCAAAGGAUUGUCAUUUCGGGACUUCAAUCCAUAUCAUUUGCUACGCAACAGGCGUGCACCCAUAUUGAUCACUGCUAUACCCAUAUUCUGUUUUUGUGAGACUUUAAUCUGUGCAGUGUAUUAUCAAUGUAUCCAACUUGCAAUCUGUAAAAUUUGCAUUAAUAAUUCAUGGAUACAUACAAGUCAUUCUUUUGGAACGGACUUAUCUCCCCAUUUGGUUACCUUUCAAGAUAAAAUAUCAAAUAGGUAUAUAAGCAUAAAAUAACACAAGUAUUGCUUACAUCCUUAGGUGGGAGAAACUUUUCUCAAGUAUCAUUCAAGCUCAUAUCAGCCCAGUAAAUAUAAUGUAGCGCUUGAUGAUCUAGUUAUAUCCUGCAAGAGCAAAAAUCACAACUCUUUUGCCUCUGUCAAAACAAAUAACCCUCAUAGUUAUGAUUACUUCAUGGAUUCAUUCUUCAUAUGUUCAUUCUAAAAAAAUAAAAUCUCUUAUGAACAGAGAGUUAUAAAAAGAGAAAAAAUGCAAAAAUAAUGUGAUAUUGAUUGCAAGAGAAGGUAAGCAAUCAGGGAAGGAAGCUGGUGGGAGCAGACAAUAAGCUCUCAUAUCUCCUAGUCUAGAAGGACCUCAGGAGAUUAGAGCAUAAGGCCGCCUUUACAAUUCCCUGAUCUUGCAGAAACAUGAUCAGGGAUAGUCUUGCUUCCUGAAUGGAUGAUCAGAGAUAGUCUUGCUUCUCAGGCAUAUUAAGUGCUUACUGAUAAGAAAAACAAGUAGAUAUCGCAUCACUAGGUAUGGAGUAAACUAGAUGUCUUCUGUAAAGAAAAUUUCGUUAGUAACACAUUUAUACACAAAUACAAUGAAUAGGUAGAACCGGUGAAUUUCAAAUUAACCAUAGGAAAAUUGCGAGAUUCUCGGGAUGCUGUUGAAAAAGUGCGAGAUUCUCGGGAUGCUUUUGAAAAAGUAGCUCCGUGAAAUCCGUAAAGCAAGAUCGGCUUUGAAAAUAAUGCUUGAAAACGCCGAAAGUGCCGACAGGCAUUAUUAGAGGCCACGUGAAGUUUUGGACUCUAGGAAAGAAAAAGAUAAUAUGGGGAUUCGAGAAGAUAUUGGGGUCCUGAAAAACAGUAGCCAUAUUUCCUCCUAUAGAUAUGGCCUUUGUAAAACUUGAUUGGAGCAACUGCGUUUCAACUCAAAUUUCUUCAUUUUCUGAAACUUUAGUUUUCCUAAGACUUUCUUCGAAACCUUCUCAAAAAUGGCUUCCUCUUCUUCCUGCCCAAAUUAUUUCAAUUUAAAUGAUGCUCCAACAGCAAACAGUGACGCCAAAGUUUGGCGUCCAUCCUUUGUAUCCCAAAAUCGUCAUCUCACAGUUAAUGAUCCUGUGAUGAUGAAUGAUGCUACUGCUGUCAUAGUAGCUAGGAAUUUCAUUACUCCAAUGGAUGAAAUGCUGUUAACAGGGAGGUCUGAGGAAGAGGCUAUUAAUGACUCAAUGGCUUUUAGCAUUCAGAGUGCUGUUUCUGUUUCUAACAUGGCUGAUCGUUUGCGUGUUAGAGCGAACGAGGUUGAGAAGCUGACAACUGAAAAUUCGUCUCUCCAAAGAAUGCUUCAUGAGUCUCAACAGGAGGUUGAGAAACUUAAAGGAGAGAAUAAUUCCUUGUUGAAACUGGUGAGUUCGUACUCAGUUGAUACACUGAGAAGGCUAGACAUGCUGCAGGUCUCCAAUGAAAGAAUUUUGGGAGACCACGAGAAGCUCAUGGCUAAGCUUAAGAGGCGCCGUCCUCUUCCUUCAGAGGCUUCCAGAACAUAAUGUAAUUUUAUAGAUUUUACAGGGCCUGCACCUUCAUUGCAGGUGGAAAAAAUCUAUUUGUUGUAUGUUUCUGUAAUAAUAAUUGCGCACAUUCUUAAACUUGCACCUGUGGUUUUUACGUCUUUUCAAAAUGACGGUUUGGAACCUUGUGCCUUAUAGGUUCAAAUAACCACAUUGUCUCUCCCAAAUUGCAUGGUAGCCCGGAACUUUUGGCCUGGGCACAAACUCAGAAUUUAUUUGCCCUUUUCAAAUGGACAUGAAAUAUGAAUUGAGUAAAAGCCACGAUAAUAUCGCAAUAUAGUAGUGAAGAGCAUUAACUACUAUAUACCCACAACUUCAAGUUCAGGAUCUCUCAUAUAUUUGGAUCCAUGGGCUUCCGGCCCAGGUAUAAUAAAAUAUGUGGGGAGCCUCAAUUCAUUAUUUGAGGUUUAUAUUGAUAUUAUCCAUUUCGCGGUGUAUUCUUAACAACCGAAAUUCACAAAAUAUAUUUCUUCCUUGAGGUGUCGAUUAUAACAGAAUCGAACUUUAUUAAAUUCAUCAUCUUCUUAUGCCAAAGAAAUAUGUGGUGUACCACAAUUUGCAAUAAUACCUCAAGGGUUGUCCAUUUAAUUGUUGGAACUUCAGGUUCUCAAUACUCUUAAAUUUUGAACUUCAGGCCAAAGCCACAUAUUCUCAUGGUAUGGACAUUUUUACAAUUUUCUGUACAUAUUCCGGGACUUCAAGCCCUUACAUAAUUGUCCAUAUUUUGAGGAACUUCUGGCAUCUCAUUUAAUUUCUCAUCCAUGAGUUUAAGGAACUGCAGGUUCCCUUUUGUAUAUAGUGACGGUUUACCCAAAAUGGUUCAUAUUUAUGCAUACGUCACUAUUCAUGUGAAUAGUACUAUUCAUCAAGUCAUGAAUACGUAUCUAUUCAUCUGCCAGUACAGUUAUCAUCAAUGUGUACGGCACCAUGAAACUGCAGGUUCCCUUUUGUAUAUAGUGACGGUUUACCCAAAAUAGUUCAUAUUUAUGCAUACGUCACUAUUCAUGUGAAUAGUACUGUUCAUCAAGUCAUGAAUACAUAUCUAUUCAUGUGUACACUACAUCUGCCAGUACAGUUAUCAUCAAUGUGUACGGCACCAUGAAACUGCAGGUUCCCUUUUGUAUAUAGUGACGGUUUACCCAAAAUAGUUCAUAUUUAUGCAUACGUCACUAUUCAUGUGAAUAGUACUGUUCAUCAAGUCAUGAAUACAUAUCUAUUCAUGUGUACAGUACAUCUGCCAGUACAGUUAUCAUCCAUGGCUCAUAUUUAUGCAUACGUCACUAUUCAUGUGAAUAGUACUGUUCAUCAAGUCAUGAAUACAUAUCUAUUCAUGUGUACAGUACAUCUGCCAGUACAGUUAUCAUCCAUGUGUACGGCACUAUGAACCAAUACGGUACUAUUACAUCAUUAAGGAACCCCAGGUCCUUAUUCACAUGUCAGGGAUCAAGGACCUUUAAGUCCAAUCACAUGUUUACAAGUAUAGUACCGGAGAGACUGCCAGCUCUCAUAUCAAUAUCAUCAUCAAGGAUCUUCAAGUCCUGAUGUAAUUGUAUGAUGAGGAUCAAGGAAUUGCUGGUCCUGAUCUGCAUACUGUAAAAACUCAUCAUACAGCACAUUUAAUCCAUAAAAUAAAUUGCUGGUAAAUAAAUUACUGGUAUGGACGAUAAAACCCGCACCACACUUUAAAUAAAAGUAAAGGCGUGGACGAUAAACCCGCACCACCCUUUUAAAUAAAUGUAAAUGUGCGGUAAUUUAAAUUCAUAAAUUAAACGUGCGUGUAUGGGCACUAAUUCUGCUCCAUACUUUUAAAUGAACGUAAAGGCGUGGACGAUAAACCCGCACCACCCUUUUAAAUAAAUGUAAAUGUGCAGUAAAUUAAAUUCAUAAAUUAAUUUGUUAGUAUUAGUAACGGUCUCCCACUGAUAAUAUGUUUAGUAUUACCAAGGGUCCAUUUUUGUUAAUGGUUAGUAAUAGAAAAGCAGAUAAAUAUAGUAUAUUAUAUUACCAUCAACUUUUCAUAUAUAUAUAUAUUAUACUGAUAUAUUAGUGGAAAGCUAGAUGCGUUGGCUUUUCUUCUUUACAUCAACAUAAUGGUUAGUAUUAUAAAUAAUAGUGCAGCACAAAAAUUAUACCUGAGAGCUUCUCGUGCUGAUAACGUGUUAUAAAAUAACCUAGAAUAUGUGCGAUAAUUCAGAGCUGCACGUAAAGUAGAUGAGACACAGCAUUUAACGAGGUUCGGCUAUGCCUACGUCCUCGGAGAGCAGCAGCAGUAACUUUUUCACUAUGUAAAAUAAUAGGGCUACAAGUUUAGUGUUUACAAUAUAUGUGGCUCACUGAAUUUUCUCUCUAGGAGAAUUUCUCUCUGCUCUCUCUUCUCUCUUUCUUCCUUCUCUUCCUUUCUCUUUUUCUUCUCUUCUUCUUUCCGUUUCUCUUCUUAUUUAUAGGCUGAAAUAAUCACUAUUCAUCACUAUUCAUCACUGUUCACCCGUGACAGACAGACUCUAUCAAAGCCGCCAAAUGAACAGUAAUGAACAGUAAUGAAAACUCUAUCAAGCCGCCAAAUGAACAGUAAUGAACAGUAAUGAAUAGUUAGUGGGCUCCACAUGUUUAUUCUUUUACAACAUCUUUUAUUUUUUAUUUUUAUUUUAAAAAAACGAAACAAGUACAUAGCACAACGGUUAUUUAAAUUUGAAGGUUAAUGCGUACAAGAAAUUGCUUUGAAUUUUUUCAAGUUCUGGCAAAACCCAAUUUGAGCUGAAGAUGACGAAUGAUAAUUGGCGGUCAUCAAUACUGACAGCAGCAGAAUGUGUCUGGGUUUGACUUCCCUUCCCUUCUCUUCUUCUUCUUGUGCUCAAAACAGAUAAGCUGUCUGUUUUGACUGUGGAGGCAAAUCAAAAUAAACUCUGGGUUAUUCCAUGGAGAACAUGCCGAGCAUUUAUCGCAGCUUGUGUGUUCUCGAAUCGCAAGUACACAUGACCAGCGGUAUUCCUGCUCAUUGACAUGAAUGUAAGUCACAUGUGCAAGAGACAAAGGACAACAUAACUAACGCGAACAAACUUACUUGUCUACAAAGAUAUGCCUCAAAUUCCUGUAUUUUGAACACUCCUCCUGAACAUCUUCUUUAAUGUCCAAGUCAAAGUUUGGUUCCGUCUGCUCAAAAAGGAAGACAAAUUAUAUAAUAUAACCACCAAGGAAAUGAAGAAAAUCUCUCAGUAUCAGAAGAAUCCAUCACCAACCUCAACUGCUGGAUUAAACAUAUUUUUCAACAGUAAACAUUCGCUUGGAACACCAAUUGUAUCUAUAGAAGGAAGAGCAGAAGUAGGAAUUUGAAGACCAGCAACACCAAGUCCAGCGAUACCAGGAACAGCGGUGAUGGGAGGAACAAGAGGAGAAAUCACUGCUGCAGCUCCCAGGAGUGGUGCCGUCGGUAGUGCCAUUGGUAAAGAAACACCGGUGCUAUUGACAGCCGGAGUGCCUAGGGGACCAGCAAUACUGCAUACAAAGCCAAUGUAAGACCAACUAAAACAAUUCAAAAUAGAAUAAAGUGCUCAGAAAAUACCAACCCUGAUCCAGAGCCACUGCGAUCCAAUUUCUGCAUGAGAAUUGCCCGAGAGCGGGCAUUCAAUGACUGUAAGAUUAAUAAAACAAUACGUCAAUUACCUUCACUCAGGUCAACAAAAAAAAUUAUGCAGUGCAGACACUCUUUCUAUGCCAAACUAUCACCCUUGGCUUUGCAGUGCUGAUGUCUGCAAUGCCUUGAGAGACGAUGCAUAUCUUACUAGUUAAAGCAAAAGGGAGGGAUAAGUUCCGAAACCAGUAAAAUGAUUACAAAAUUCAUGGAUGCUAUGUUAUUUUGAAUUAUCAAGCUCAACUUCAAUAAUCUGCUAGCAAAAAAACAACCUUGAAUGAGCAAUCUUUCCAAUAUCAAAGGUUAAAAAGCUGGCAGGAGUGCAAGAGAUGGUAGUUCAAAUUAUUUGUUGACCUUAUUUUCCCCCUAGGAGAAUGAACUCUAAUCAUUUAAGAAGUUAGAAAUAUAUAUCUAGUCAAAUAAAUAAGAGAACAAUAAACACAAAAGAUAUUAAGCCAAUCGAACCAACUAUAGAUACCAUAAGCAUCAAGCAGCAAAAAAGCUUAAAAGCAAUGGAGCAGCAGCAGCUUCCAUACAUUCAACAAUUAUUCCCAGAUAUUACUGAGCCAGAGCAAACAGUUCUUAGCAAUCAUAUCAGUCCACAAAUUCUUUGUGUUAAUAGGAAAUAAAAACAUAAAAGGAAAGAUCUUAUUAACCAAGCCACCACCUUCAUCGUCAUCAAAAUCACCAGCAUUUGCUCCAAGACCUUGCAUUCCAGCUUGGUCUGUAACAGCUGACACCUAAAUAGAAAAAUGAGGACUCGGGUAGUUGAACUCCCAAAUUACUUAAUAUAUGGUUUUAAGCAAAAUCAUCCGUUUGGGAAACCAUAAGGAUGCACAAUUAUGUAACAAUGCAACGACUUCUGAAAACCUGAAUCUAAAGCAUCAUUCUAAGUGGCAACUCUGAUCCACCCUAUAAAUCUCAGAAUGAUAGCAGUCUGUGACACAUCGCCACAACACAUUCAAAUAUUUCAAAAAACAAAAGCAAAAAAGGCUUCUAUUCAGGAAAUACCACAAAACUAUUUAAGACCAUGAUACUAAUAGUAUCAUCAACUAGUGCCUGUAGUUAUCGGUAAAAUUACGUGCUACAACAAUCUGCACAUUAUGAGAAGUUCACCACAUCAACUACGUGCUGCUCAAUGUGCGCAUUAACAAAAACCCCAGCUCAUGCACUAUUGCACAGUAGGCCUGCUGGGUUUCGCUACCUUACAGUGAUCACACUGUAUAAUCCAUUUGGACAAUGAAAGGCUGAACAGAGUCAACAACAAAAAAUUCCAACAACCAAAUAAAUGCAUGCCAUGUUAAAAAAGCAUCGCCAAAUUAACCAGAGGAACUAACAUACCAGUAACACACACAACCUAAUUGAUGAACUUGGAAAGAGUACACAAUGCAAGCAUAUUUCUGGAGGAAGAAGUAUAAUAACAAUAUAGUAAAGUGCCAUUACCUUAAUUAGUCGACCUGCAAUCUCCAAUUUUCCAUUCAAACUCAGUGCAUUUCUAGCAUCUUCAAGACGUGAGAACUGCAAGCAACUGAUUCAAUGAGUUUGAUUUAUUCAAUACAAUUACAAGGAAUCAUAUCCAGCAUCUGAUAAGAACAACUGGAAUGGAAUUGAACUAAAAGGAAGGGGAAAAAAACAUUGCCAACCCAACUUGAUUUCAUUGGCCUUUCAGGUUUUAAAAUAUUGUAACCUGAAAUUGUAUGAUGGGUUGACCCUUAACCCAACCCAUGCCCGCACCUAGCUAAGGAUUUGGCAGUCGGAAGUUUUUGGUGCCCACUCUUCUCAGUUUGAGUUGGGAAGAAACUUGAAAGAAUCAAGAAAAGGUGUGCAUUUGUUUAGAGUCGAUUUCAAAUUCCAACUCAAGCUAUAACGAACCGGCAGUUGACAGUUUUCUUUUUCUUUCCUUUAAUAAAUUUCCCCUACAUGGAUUUGGACUUGAAAAUAAAUAUAAAUAAAUGACAGAACUGAAGGAUGCCAACAGUCUUUGAAGUUUUAAUUAAACCUGUUAUGGAUUGCUUGUUGGUUGACCUUUGGCUUAAUAUAACUAGCUGCAUGCAUACAUUUAUACAUUUAUUCUAUAUCCAGGCUGCUUAAGUUGAAAGUUGUAGUCAAACAGACCUGCACAAAUCCAAAACCUUUGCAGUUGUUAGUUUCGUCAACAGCUAACUGAACCAGUUCUACAGGACCAAAUGCUCCAAAAACAUAUAUAUAUAUAUAUAUAUAUCACAUAUUAAAGGGUGAAGUCAAAAUGCAAAAAAUAUUCACAAUUACAAAGACGAAAUUAGGAAACUGUGAACAGAAGUGCUCAAAAGCAACCACAAAAAAAAAAUUACAUAACCAACAGCAAGCUUGAUUAUGUACAUUAUCCGAUGCCAACAUUAGAACUGUGUCAGAAAAUUACUCAUCUGGAGGAGAUCGUCUUCUUUUAUAUUGGUAUGGAGAUUUCCCACAUACAGCUUUCUAGCUCCGCCAGAAUAUGGGCCUAUCAUCCCACCUGGUCCGCUAACCACAGAUGUUGAUUGAACCAGAUUCUUCUCAGCCUCUGAUGGCUUCACCAUCACUGGUUGACCAAGAAGAGGCUGACCAGAAAGUGCAAUCGCCAUUGGUACCGACAUUGCAUCAUAAAACUCAAUAUACCUACAAACUAGACAACAUUAGACUCUUGGAUAAUCAAAAACCAAUUGCCACAUACAGAUGCAUAUAAUAGCGAAGUUUACUGGAGUCUCCACACAUAGUUCAAAACAGGGAAAGAAAAAUGUCCUAUAUGAUAUAUCUGAUCAUCUUGACCAACUAGAAUAACCUAUAGUAUAUACUAUAUGUACUGCUUUUAGUACAAAGGUGAUCAAUAUAAUCGUAAACUUUCUAAGAUGAUGGUGCAAAUUUUGAACAUUGUAAAUGAUGUGAUGAUUCUACGUACUGCACAAGAAAACGUUGGAACAAGGAAGAUGCAGCCAUCAAGAAGGGAGCAGGAACUGCCAACCAUUCCAAAAAUGACCAAGCGACAUUAAAAGGAUAGUCUUAUUUGAACCUUAGAAUGAAAUCUUUGGUUUCUUGUCAACACAACCAUAUAAAUUUUUCAUUAACAACCGGAUAAUUUAAGACUCUCACAUCAUCUUAAACGCUACCAUUGCAUAAUGGGUAAUUGUUAAAGUGAACCUUCUGUUAACAACCAUCCAAAGCUUUUGUCACCAAGACAUAAGAAAAACUUACCCAACUCCCUUAGAACGUCUUGAAUUGCGAUCCAUAAUGAGGCGUACAUCACGGACCUAAAAAUACACAAUUCAGAGCUAUUAGAUAGACAAUCAUAGAAAUAUACUAACAGUUACAUCCACAGAAGCACUUAAUGGAAACCGUUAUGGGUUUCCAGUAUUUGGUUUAGUUGAAGCACUGCAUCAGAUAGUGUUAGGGUGCCCUUGAGAGCAGAAGGUGAAAAUAUAAUGCAUUUAUAUCAAAAAGUCCCUUUUAGCUAAAUAGUUUACGAUCUUUAUCCACCAUCUUCUAUGAUUUGUUAAAUGAACGAGAAAUGUACAAACCUUGCCAGCCCUUGAGAAGAACUCGUAUACAUCUCUUUCAUCUGCCUUCAGACAAAUCUGUCAAAGUUGUUCACUAAAUCUUAAUGGUUAAGAUAUGAGAAUGUGAAAGAUAGAAAGUUCAAGAUAACACCAUAGAACGCAUGCACCAACAUAUUUGCUCUUCUAUGGACCUGACUUGUGCUUCACUGCUUCAGCUUCCCAAUCUCAAGCUCAAAUUUGCAGCUAAAUUUUUUCAAUUUCGGGUUUCAGACUUUCAGUCAGUCGCAGUGUUUGAAAAAUCGGCCUAGGCGGCUAGGAGGUCGCUAUGAGGGCGCUAGGCGGCUAGGAUGUCGCUAGGCGGGCGCUAGGCGGCUAGGCGGUCGCUAGUAGGGCGCUAGGCGGCUAGGCGGUCGCUAGGCGGGCACUAGGCGGGCGCUAGGCGGCUAGGCGGUUGCUAGGCGGUCGCUAGGAGGCUAGGUGGUCGCUAGGCGGCUAGGAUGUCGCUAGGCGGGCGCUAGGCGGUCGAUAGGAGGCUAGGUGGUUGCUAGGCGGGCUCUAGGCGGGCUCUAGGCGGCUAGGCGGUCACUAGGCGGGCGCUAGGUGGCCGCUAGGAGGCUAGGCAGGCGCCUAGGGAGGUUGGGUCUUUUCUCCGUGCCGAACUCGGAGAAUGAAGCAGUAACUGCGAGUGCAGGUUCCGUCCUCUGCGAGUGCAAGCUUCGUGUUCGUAAAGAAUAUAUUUAAAGGGUAUAGCCGGUCGGCUAUACUUUUAAAAUAUUCGAAUGUAUUUAGACAGUACAGCCGAACGGCUAUACUGUUAAAGUAUUCGAACAUAUUUGAACAGUAUAGCCGCCCGGCUAUACUCUUUAAAUACACAAUUUUGUCAUAUUAUUUUAGGGUUUAUGUUAGGGUUAAAAUACAAAAAACAUGAGAAGAAAGCUCCAACUGCACAUUAUAUCUCAUUGAAAAAUCAACAAAUUAUUGUCCAACAACUUAAAUUAUCGUGACAAGAAGAUGAACUAGAUAUGCACAAUGCUGGAGGAUGGUGAUAACUCCCUUUAGAAGGUAUAAGGUAGUUCUUUGUUAAUAAGUUACAAAAAUAUAAGGUAUAAGGUAGUUCUUUGGGCUGGGCAGGCACCCAACAUGCCCUUUGCAUAGCCCCGCCACUGUAUAAGGUAGUUCUGUAUUAAUAAGUUAUAAAGAUAUGGAUUGCAAAGUUUUUCACCAUAUAAAAUCAGAUUCACCUCAAUACAGUCAUAUCGAUGGAUAAUGCCAAGUAUAUUAAGCAGCUACCUUUUGUACUCAUGUAUUCGCUUUGUCUGAACAUCAAACAUUGCAUCUAAACUAACCUGCAGUUGAAAGUGUUAAAUUUCAAUGUAAUCUAUUAGACAUACCUUCAAGACAAAAGAGAAAAGAUGAACAGGAUAGAAGUUCUAAGAACUUGUGAUCAAAACUUCACACCACUCAUUGCUUCAAUGUACUCAGCGAGCCUCAUUUUGUUAACCUUCUUAACCUACAACAUGAGCAUAUAUACAACAGAUUUAAAUACAAAAGAAGCCAAAAGCUUAAUAUAUUUUUGGUUCCUAAGCAGAUAUCAAGCCUAGUGAGUACCAUCAUCCAUUCUUGUUGAAGGUCAGGAUCUGCUGCAUAUGCUCGCAAGCCAGUUGCAAGCAAUGUCCCACGCUUCAUUCCAACCCAAAUGCUCUUCAUCAACAAGCACUCUCAUGACCUUAGAUAUUUUUUAGAGAUAUAUGGGUGAGUAUCACUGAGCUGCAGAGCACCCUAAUUAAGACAAUGAGAAAUGAGCCGAGGAAAAAAGGAAAAACAGAAAAGCAAGCCUGAAUGACUGUCAGAGGAAAGUAAUAAAUAUAAGUUCAUUGUAGCUAAACAAGCUGCCAGAUUGGGUAUUCCCUAGAAAUCAGCAUAUGAUAUACUUACACCUUCUCUGAAAAUUCAUCAAAGUUACUGUAAGCCUCUUUAUAUUUCCGAAUUAUGUCUUGUAUGGAUUCUGAGAUAAAGACAUAUAUUGUUGCUUCAAUCGCAGUUCCUUCCCCUGUAAUACAAAAUAAAGUGAAAAGGGAAACAUACUAAAUGAGAAUAUAUAUGAGACGUCCACAUAGAAACUAGGUAAUUGAGUUUAUGACUUUUCUCCGGAACUUCUAAGAGAGUACAUUUUCUCAGAAACAUACAGAUAAAACAAAAGAACAAUAAUGAUGUUUAAUGUUUAUAUGGUGAAUAGAAACGCAGGGAAAUAAGACGUGCGAAAGUAAGAAGGAAAGCUUGGUGUUGGUGAGAGAUAAGACUUUGGGGGCAUAGACAUGAAGAAAGAUGUGCAAAAGUGAACAAGGAGGGUUAAAAAAAUAAAAAUAAAAAAAGGGACAGGACCUUAAGUUUGACAUUAGUUGGGUUAGGGUAAUUAUUAUUUUUAAUUAAGGGUAAAUUGGGUUUUUGUUUGAAGAAUGAUGUGUCAAUUUUUAAAGUCUCUUAUAUUGUAACAUCCCACAUCGACCAACGGAAAGGGGGUGAUGUGCCUUAUAUGUACAUGCCCGCCUCCAUUUAGCAUGAGGCCUUUUGGGAGCUCACUAGCUUCGGAGUCAUGGGAACUCCGAAGUUAAGCGAGUUGAGCUAAACCAAUUCCAAGAUGGGUGACCAACUGGGAAGUUGCUCGUGAGCUCCUAGAAACAAAACCGUGAGGAUAGAGAGGGGGGCCCAAAACGGACAAUAUUGUGCUACGGCGGAGCCGAUCCUGGGAUGUGACAUAUAUUAUAUUUAAUGAGGUGGCGUACGGAAGACAAAAGUCAAGUAGAUCCAAGCAAAGGUAAAAGUCGGGAAUUUAAGAGGAGAAAUUGACAAUUCCCUUGUUUGGCAAGUUAAGCCCAGAAAUUAUUAAAUGACGGGCGGAAAAAAUCGUGAAAUUUGGAGCAUCAAAUUCCCGAGUUUAAUUUCCAGCAAAAUAAGUGUCAUUUCACAAUUUUCAUAGUGUGCCAUUUACAAAAUUCGACAAACAUAAAUCCAAAUAUCGAAAUCUUCAAUUGCCAGAAAUUGAAAUGAUGAAAAUCGAAAUUCUGUCAUUUUAGAAUUCUAUGUAAUUUUCAAUUUCUUCAUCCAAACGAAAGGUCAUGUUUCCCUCUUAUAGGAAACUAUGAUCAUCAUUUAAUACACCAUUCAAGAUCAAUUUGUCCCCAUUAACAAUUUAGAAUUACAAUUUUAUCCAACAACAAAGACCCUUUGUAAUUUUUUCUUAUUUUUAUUUUAUAUAUUUCUAACUUGGGUAUAAUUGGAAAACUAACCAAAGUUUGCUUUCCAUUAUAGGGAGGAGAUAAAUGCACGCUAGUCUAAAUACCUAUUAGUAUUACCAGUCAAUGAAAGAUUGAAUUUCUUCAAAAUGCUAAAAAGAUAAAUCAACUUUAAUUUUAAUUACCAAGUGCCAAAAUCCACAUAUGGAGUCUAACUUGUACAUGUAUGAGUAUGACACGAUUUGUUUUAUUUUCUCUUCUUUUUUGGCUUUUGGUGUGGAAAGCUUGCGGCCUUUUACCUUUUAUUUUUGGACAAGUUAUGUGAUGUUUUUAAUUUCUUACCUUCUCACAAAAAAGUUGAAAGUUUUAAUUUCUCCCCCUAACAAAUUUAAUUAACAGAUGAGUUCGUUUUUCUAUUCCCCUCCUAAACUAAAGUUGGUUUAGAGGACUUUAGUUGGCUUUGCUAAAGACUCUUUUGUUAUAAGAGGCAACAAGAUGACAUGAGAACAGAAAACAGAUCACAAUCUUAACUACUGUCUACACAAUACCAACUAGAACUCUUGCAUCUUUUCACAAUGUUGGAAGAGGCGCAAGAUCGAAUCUCCCGUCUCCGUUAAUAAAUAAAAAAAAACUAUAAUUAACUUAACACAGCAUAAGAUAAAUGUUGAUUAGGAAACUACACUUGCUAGCGCAAGCUUUAGCAGGGCAAGAACAAAGAAACAAACAUCAUAUUAGUACCUGGCCAGUGCCACCAAGGCUAAUGGGCUGGACUGGAGUGGUGCCGUUGGUUAAUUUGUAAAGAAACACCGGUGCUAUUGACAGCGGGAGUGCCUAGGGGACCAACAAUACUGCAUACAAAGCCAAUGUAAGACCAACUACAACAAUUCAGAAUAGAAUAAAGUGCUCAGAAAAUACCAACCCUGAUCCAGAGCCACUGCGAUCCAAUUUCUGCAUGAGAAUUGCUCGAGAGCGGGCAUUCAAUGGUGUAAAAUGUGCAGCUAUCAAAGAGAUAGUCCCUAGCAAGGUUGAGAUGUUCUUAUGCACCAGAUGCUAAAAGUUAUAGAUAUGAAAAGGUGUUAAAAUUUGAACAAUCAACUUUUCAUCUGAUUAGUCUACCUUGGCUUUGAGGAUGGUUCCAUCAGCACGAUGACCAAGCUUAAAGUAGCCCGAUAAUGCUAUAAAGUAGAAGUACAAUUUAGAUGAAGAUGGGGAUGACGAUCACACUAAAGACAAGUGACAACAGCCAAUGUUCAAUCUGAUCUACCUUUUCUUAUCUAUUAUUGAAGCAUUAAACCCCAAUAAUGCCACCAAAUGCUUUGUAUUGUUUAUUUAGCAGCCAUGUUUUCUUUUUAGCAGUUAUCUUUGAGCACAAGGAAAGUAUUGUUUGUUGGAUUCAUCGGCAUAAGCCGUCUUACACCAACUAACUCUUAACCUAAUGGUGUUUCUCUUUUCAACGUUAAAAGAUGUCUCAAUGUUGUUAAUAAAGAUUAAAAAGAAAUGUCCCCUUACAGAAACUCCAUACAAAUUACAAAAUGACAAAAGAAAGUUCUUGCACUAAUAUGAUUGACAUAUAAGGUUACAUGCAAGUCACUAUUAUAUAUGCAGAGGAAGUAUCAUUGCAUUUAAGAGAUGCUGAGCUUUCCACAAUCAAAAUCUGCCUUCUUCAACCGCAAACCAGCCAGGAUUGGAGAUAAACAUUUGUCCCUGAAGAAGUUCAUAAAUUUUCCAUUACUCUCUUGUAAGAAACCAACCACAUAAGAUGUACUAAUCAGAUCAAAGCUUCUCCAUCUCCUCUCAUUGGCAUACUUGUUCAACCCCAUCUCAAUCCUCUCAUACUCUUCCUUUCCUUCUACACCCUCCUUAUCUUUUCUUUCUCCCCCUGAGUUCUUCAACAAGGCCUCACCAAGACACCUUGCCAAUACAACGCUGUCUUCUAAUGCACAGCAGCCGCCUUGGCCAAGGUCUGGGGUCAUGGGGUGGAGCGCGUCUCCUGCGACACAAGCAUUGCCUUUGCUGAUGUUUCCCCAAAGAAGCUCCCAAGGAUGCCUAUAUCUCAAUGGAGAGGAUAUAAAAGCAUCCAAUUCGGUGUUUUCUACCACAGCUUUUACUUUAUCAGGUAUCUUUCCGAGCUUGCUUAACAUAUAUUGCUUCAGUUGAGCUGGGUUCUCUUCUAGCUCUUUCUCUAAUAGACAUGAAGAAUAAACAAAAAAUGUAACAUACAGAUACUGGUUUGAUUGCAAUUUUACAUACUACGUACACUUCUUAACAGCCAAUAUGAAGUCCUAAAGUUUCUGAAUUGAAAAGGAAAAAAAUUAUCAUCUUGUCUAGAUGCUGAGAGUAACAUAUAGUAUGAAACAUUCUAUCACGGUUUUUUUAUUUGUGGUGAGAUUGAUAUCUUAAGUUAUAUUUUUUGCUCCAAGGAUCUGUCGUAUGUUUGAGCCUUGACUUGAGGGUACCAAAAGGAAACAUGGAAGCAAAGAAUCCCCAAAAUUUGUGUGAAAGCUUACCUUGGCUAGAGGGAGUCCAUGUAAUGUACCAGUAAACAUUUGCAUCAUCACAAGGGACGGCACCAGAUCUAAUACCAUUCCCAAAGUACUGCAUGAACAUGGGAUCAAAUCCAUGACAGCUCUUGAAGGUAGCACAACCUCUAAUAGCAGAUCUCCCUGUAAAUGCCGGCGGCUUGAAGCCGAGCCAUUUUGCCACCACGGAGUUCACUCCAUCACACCCAACCAAGACCUAUUCAAUCACAACAUUAUAACUGUAAGAGAUGAAAGUACCUAAAAAAUUAAGUAUUCCAUCUAAAAAGAGUUGCCUUGUGGAACCAACCUAGUUAGGAAGAAAAUGACAAAGUUUCAAGCUUGGAGGUUAAAAAAGGCAAAAAGGUUUUGGUUCAAUUGGGACAGUCUAGCAGGCCAUGGCGGAUCCGAGUGGCACUGACCCGUUAUCCUUCCACUGCCAAUAGCGGGAGGUAGUCGUUGCUCUGUAAAGCCAGUCUUACGCAGUGCCCUCCACUCUAGAAACCCAGUGACCCAGAGCCUUCGCUCAAGCCACAGGGUUCAACUCCUGGCUUGGAAUGGGCGGGCCAGAAGAUAGCCAACCCGAACCCGACCAGCUAAUACUGGGACAAUGUUCCAGCACCUCAAAGCCCCCACUCGGGUUACAAGCUCACACUGCUAAGCUCGGCGAUACAACUUCCUCCUGUUAGGUUUAUGAAGUGUGGG